GACGAACGCUGGCGGCGUGCUUAACACAUGCAAGUCGAACGCUGAAGCUUGGUGCUUGCACUGGGUGGAUGAGUGGCGAACGGGUGAGUAAUACGUGAGUAACCUGCCCUUGACUCUGGGAUAAGCCUGGGAAACUGGGCCUAAUACUGGAUACGACAUGUCACCGCAUGGUGGUGUGUGGAAAGGGUUUUACUGGUUUUGGAUGGGCUCACGGCCUAUCAGCUUGUUGGUGGGGUAAUGGCUCACCAAGGCGACGACGGGUAGCCGGCCUGAGAGGGUGACCGGCCACACUGGGACUGAGACACGGCCCAGACUCCUACGGGAGGCAGCAGUGGGGAAUAUUGCACAAUGGGCGGAAGCCUGAUGCAGCGACGCCGCGUGAGGGAUGACGGCCUUCGGGUUGUAAACCUCUUUCAGCACGGAAGAAGCGAAAGUGACGGUACGUGCAGAAGAAGCGCCGGCUAACUACGUG
rnacentral:rRNA from 1 species